UACGUAGGGACGAGCGUUGUCCGGAAUUACUGGGCGUAAAGGGCGCGCAGGCUGUAGAUCAAGUCAGCCGUGAAAUGUCUGGGCUUAACCCGGGCAUGCGGUUGAAACUGAUGUACUGGAGUGCUGUAGAGGCAAGUGGAAUUCCCAGUGUAGCGGUGAAAUGCGUAGAUAUUGGGAAGAACACCGGUGGCGAAGGCGACUUGCUGGGCAGCAACUGACGCUGAGGCGCGAAAGCCAGGGGAGCAAACGGGAUUAGAUACCCCGGUA
rnacentral:rRNA from 1 species